CGGUAUUCAGUAACCUUAAUCUAAUAUUUCACGCCCAAACCCUAUUUCCCCAAUUUCCUCUAUCUCUCUCUCUGCUCGACCGAUAACCCCUCUCUCUCUGCUCGACCGAUCCCUAUUUUCCCAAAUUUUUAAAGGAAGCCUAUCAGCGACGUUUUGAGGAAUAGCGUCAAAGUCAACCCGAUUCCAUGGAUGGUAGCUCAACCCAAGUGUCACUCAAUGAUGUAGCUUCAAUAUGGUCGCAGGUGGUUGGUGGCGCAAAGAAAGGUAGAACCUACGGUCUUGAAUCACAAUAUUCCGUAGGUCAUUCUACGACAUUGUUGUCUGGCGAUGCAAGUUAUUCGCAAGAUCACGAAGAGGUGGAAGCAUUACGAAAAGAAGUUGAAGAGUUGAAGGAGGAACAGAAAGAAGAUCGCGCAAGUUUUAACAAAUUGCAGAUUCUAGUGGAGAAAUUUAUGAGCGGACGUUCAUUUGGUCCUUUGAAUAGCGAGGAUGGCGGGGAUAAUGAGUUUUAGUUUGUUAUGGUUCACUACUAAGAAAUCAAGUUUUAGCGACGGAUUAGCAACCGAUUAUCAAGAAAUUCCGCUAGCUACGAGCGUUUUAGCGACAGAUUAGCGACGGCGUUCGUAGCUAAUUCCAGUUUUUUUGUAGUGGUUAUGAUGUUUGAGACAUUAUUAUUUGUUGUAGUUUGAUGUUUAGACUUGGUAAUAUUUACACUUGACUAUGAUUGUAAUGUUUUAGACUAGAUUGAAUGGUGCCAGAAUGUUUAACUCUUUUUUGGAUGUUUUAGUUACAAAUAUUUAUGUUUUGCAUUUUAUGGAUUGAUUGGUUGAAAUGA